rnacentral:rRNA from 1 species
GUGGGGAAUCUUCCGCAAUGGACGAAAGUCUGACGGAGCAACGCCGCGUGAGUGAUGAAGGUCUUCGGAUUGUAAAGCUCUGUUAAUCGGGACGAAAGAGCCUAGUGUGAAUAAUGCUAGGAAGUGACGGUACCGGAAUAGAAAGCCACGGCUAACUACGUGCCAGCAGCCGCGGUAAUACGUAGGUGGCAAGCGUUGUCCGGAAUUAUUGGGCGUAAAGCGCGCGCAGGCGGAUCUGCCAGUCUGGCUUAAAAGUUCGGGGCUUAACCCCGUGAUGGGAUGGAAACUACAGAUCUAGAGUAUCGGAGAGGAAAGUGGAAUUCCUAGUGUAGCGGUGAAAUGCGUAGAUAUUAGGAAGAACACCAGUGGCGAAGGCGACUUUCUGGACGAAAACUGACGCUGAGGCGCGAAAGCCAGGGGAGCGAACGGGAUUAGAUACCCUAGUAGUCC